rnacentral:rRNA from 1 species
CUUUUGUAAUUUUAUAAAAGGUGGUUUCUGCUCAGUGAUUUUAAACAGCCGCGGUAAUUUGACCGUGCGAAGGUAGCAUAAUCAUUUGUCUUGUAAUUUGGGACUUGUAUGAAUGGAAAAACAAAAGCUUUACUGUCUUUAAGAAAUUUUUGGAAGUUGUUUUUAUUGUGAAGAAACAAUAGUAAAAUAGGGGGACAAGAAGACCCUUUUGAGCUUUACUUUUUUUUAGAAGAAGUUUUAUAAAAGAGUUUGAUUGGGGCGAUCGAGGAAGAAGAUAUCUUCCUUUAUUAGAUUAUAUUUGAUCCAGAAAUUAUGAUUGAAAGAAUAAGUUACCAAAGGGAUAACAGCGUAAUUUUUUUUGUGAGUUCUUAUUAAAAAAAAAGAUUGCGACCUCGAUGUUGACUUAUAGUUUCCUUUGGGUGCAGUAGCUUAAAAGGUGGGUCUGUUCGACCUUUAAAAUUUU